UACGUAGGGUGCGAGCGUUGUCCGGAAUUACUGGGCGUAAAGAGUUCGUAGGCGGUUUGUCGCGUCGUUUGUGAAAACCCGGGGCUCAACUUCGGGCUUGCAGGCGAUACGGGCAGACUUGAGUGUUUCAGGGGAGACUGGAAGUUCCGGUCUGAGCGGUGGAAAUGACGCAGAUAUCAGGAGGAACACCGGUGGCGAAGGCGGGUCUCUGGGAAACAACUGACGCUGAGGAACGAAAGCGUGGGUAGCAAACAGG
rnacentral:rRNA from 1 species